UGUUGUCUGGUGUUCAUUUCUCUUUACUGCAAUGCUCAAGAAUGAUUUAUGCUCAUGCUAAUGAAAUAAAUCACUUUAUUCAUUUGUGCAUCUUGGGGUUGUAAUGUUUUCGAUAGAUUACAACAAAUGUUGAGAAGACAUUUCAUUGCUUAUGUUUAUAUUAACAACUUUGCCAUUGUUGAUUAGUCACUGUCAACUAGUAUUGAAGGGGGAACCAAAUGGCUGGUCAACAAAUUAAAAGGGAAGAUGCAAAAGCCAUUAACGGAGUUGCUAAAGGAAUUCGAUCUACCCAUAGGAAUAUUUCCUCGUGACGCCACAAACUAUGAAUUUAAUGAAGAAACAGGGAAGCUUGUCGUGUCCAUUGUGUGGGUGCAUGACUCUUAUUGCUGUAUGACUAUUCAAAUUCUUGUACUGAAUUUUGUGUGCCUCAUGAUUGCAGGAAAUGGGGAAAAUGCUUGACAAGAAAGAAGUUAGGCUUUCUAAGGAACCAUCUUUAUGUAAUGAAACAAUUACUAUUGUUGUUCGAAUGCUAGAUGGUUAUCGUCUUAAACAUCGCAUUCUCAAAUAGAUAGUGAGGAUUGUAUGUUUGGUGGAUAUUAUGUGUAGUUUUAAAAAAUUAAAAAAUUUAAUUACUUAAUUUUCAUGUUA